rnacentral:rRNA from 1 species
AACGAACGCUGGCGGCAGGCCUAACACAUGCAAGUCGAGCGGACCCUUCGGGGUUAGCGGCGGAAGGGUGAGUAACGCGUGGGAAUAUGCCCUUCUCUACGGAAUAGUCCUGGGAAACUGGGGGUAAUACCGUAUACGCUCUUUGGGGGAAAGAUUUAUCGGGGAAGGAUUAGCCCGCGUUGGAUUAGGUAGUUGGUGGGGUAAUGGCCUACCAAGCCGACGAUCCAUAGCUGGUUUGAGAGGAUGAUCAGCCACACUGGGACUGAGACACGGCCCAGACUCCUACGGGAGGCAGCAGUAGGGAAUCUUAGACGAUGGGGGCAACCCUGAUCUAGCCAUGCCGCGUGAGUGAUGAAGGCCUUAGGGUUGUAAAGCUCUUUCAGCUGGGAAGAUAAUGACGGUACCAGCAGAAGAAGCCCCGGCUAACUCCGUG